UCUCUGAAUCUGUACCCGUCAUGUCCCAGGCAGUGGAGUGGGAGUGAAGAAGCUGUGUGAACUGCAGCCUGAGGAGAAGUGCUGUGUGGUGGGCACUCUGUUUAAGGCCAUGCCGCUGCAGCCCUCCAUCCUGCGGGAGAUCAGCGAGGAGCACAACCUGCUCCCCCAGCCUCCUCGGAGUAAAUACAUACACCCAGAUGACGAGCUGGUCUUGGAAGAUGAACUGCAGCGUAUCAAACUAAAAGGCACCAUUGACGUGUCAAAGCUGGUUACAGGUAGGGAGCCCAAUGAGGGGAUGAGGGUGAUGCAGGUGAAAAGCCCAGCGGUGGUGUGUUAGGGAUGGUGUGAGUGGGGAGCCUGGGGGGAGUGGGGGUGUGUGGCCGGGCACACGUGUGUUCUUGAGGAGGUAGGUAAGGCUCCAGGCGGUUGGAGGCCAUCAGAUUGGGUGAGACCUGGCUGGGAGAUGGGUCUCCCCACCUCCAUCCAAAGGCAGUGACUCCAGGAAGCAGGCAUGCAUCCUGGAGUCCUAGGUGAGAAUUCACCAAUGUGGUUGUGGAGAACUGGCUUGUUUUGCCCGUU
rnacentral:sRNA from 1 species